GAGCCUUCAUCUUUGCUCGUCACACCGCCUGCUUCACUGCUUGAAGACUUUGGGGGCUGUCCUGUCUCUUUCUUCCAGAUACAAGAAGACUCUUGGCCUUUUCUUUGUCGACUUCACUUCCGGGGCAGAAGAAACUACCUUGCCCUGGCUAUCAGGAUGGGGUACCUGUGGAGACUGAAUUUGGAGAUAGCAGUGAAGACGAAGGAGCUGGAGUUUCAAAGCAGGGCCUUGGACAGAGUCUUGGGCAGAGCGUUCAAGGUUUGUUCCAACAGAAUUCAUGACACAAGAAAGGCUCACAUCAUAUAGUAACACUUAUAUCAGAGGUGUGGUCGGCAACCUGGUGAGAAACUCGAGAGGAGGGAACCCUGACCUGGGGCUGAGAAGAAAUCUGCAUGCAUCUCACUUCUGAGAAACCAGAAAGCCCUGUAACUCUCCACUCUAAAUCAAAUUUAGGAGACCGAGAGCCUGUGGGCUCUUGUAUUAACUGCAAUGAGUUCUUGUCACUUGAAGUCUCUGUUAAAUGAAGAAUGUCAAGUUUAAUUUCCAGAAUUUCAGUGGUUUAAAUAAAUUUGUUAAAAAGAAAUAAAAUAAUGUCUCCUGUUAUAUUUAUCUUUGAAGAUCCUGAGCAUAAAUUUGUUUAGAGCACCAAACAGGAAGGAGUAUUAACAUGUUCGUGACAAAUGCACUGAAGAGAUUGGAGUUAGGGGCUCUAAUUAGCGUUGAGAACAGGACAAAUGGGACAUUAAGCACUUUGAUCUGUG
rnacentral:lncRNA from 1 species